rnacentral:lncRNA from 15 species
GGAACAUAGGAUGGCAUAUGUACAUGAGCACACAAACACGUAAUCACAGGGCUGAAGAUGCAUGCAGUGUGAAGCCGCACACACACACACAUACAGUGGCAAUGAAAUCACAAGGAUCAUUCAUGGAGUCUAAAUGUGGAGUUAGACAUCUGUUAUCCACGUCUACAUUUACUUCCAUUCCUCAAGAUGGAGAGAGAAGAGACUUUAAAGCGGCUCAUCAAACGGCACUGAAGAACAUGCUGUGAGCGGAGUCUAACAGUCCCUUUAAGCUGUCAUUUUUCAGAGCCAAUGAACCCGUUGUCCUCUCGCUGUUUUCCAAAUUUAGAUAUCACAAGUUUGGCAGACGAUUACAAAGACUGACAGGUCUGAAAGAGCAUUAGCCAUCAUGCAGGUUUGAAGAAGAGGAGGGAAUUUAACAGUCAGUUCAAGGUAAAAAAAAAAACAAAACAAUUUCAUGGAGUUUAUUUUGAUUUCACAACAGUGACUGCUCAGAGCCUGCAGUACACUCGCAGUGACAAAUGGUCUAUCAUCCGGUUGUAUUGUACCGGUGUUAAUGAACCCAGAGGGAGACUGUCAUUACUGUACCACAUUUCCAAUUUCCUCUCACUUAUCCCAGAUUGGGUUGUGUUUUAGUUCCACAAACAUCCCUGUCAGACAGAAAUACUCUUAUUGGUAGAUGCAGGUUGAAGGAACUUGAUGAUUUCAGGGAGAUUUCUAAACAAUGUAUGCUCCAGCAACAAGUUUCAUUACCACCAUUGAAUUGUACCGCUUAUUCAACUCUAACAACUCUAACACAAAUUCUAAUCCAUUUUCACAAGGACAUUGUCAAUGCUAGCGGGGGUUGGGGGAAGGCAUCAAACCAUAAUAAAUAAUAAAUAAUAUAAUAUUGCUGUCCAGACUUCGGUGACCUCAGUGGUGGGUAUGACCAUGUUCACCAGAGGUGGUAGGAACACAAUAAGAAGCAAGUUCUGUUACUGCGUUGACUAUUUCUCACCUAAAAUGGUUCCACAAACACAUUUUCGUGUACUGAGCCGCCAUUAUUUCCUGCUACAGUCGUAGAGUCGAAACUGCGCAGCCAAUGAAAGCAGCUCAACUUGCGGUACGUCACCUUCGCUGGCUCCGAAAAAAGCAAGACAUGAGGCUUCGAAUCGGUAUCCCACAAACCAAUGGGUGACGUCACGAUUGGUUCACGGUUGUUUAGAACCCGUGAGUUUUCAUGUUUGAAGUCAGAAUCCACCUUUUAAGCUUGACACUAGUCUGCUCCAUAUUCAGACUUUCUCCACUGAAUAAUUAAAAUCAGUUCAUUCGCAACAGUACAAAAGUGCAGGAAUCUGUCAUAGUGGCACUGCUGCAGACAAGUCAAUAAAACAAAAAAAGAAAAAAGAGCCAACGCAGCAUUGAUACAUGCAGUACAACAGGAAGAAAUCCAAUACAGCAAUUUAUACACAUUUGAUUUAGCUGCAUAUACUUGCCUCUGCACUGCUCUGUACCUGCGUAGAAAACAACUAUGUGCAUUCAAAAUGAAGCCGGCCUGCAUUCCUCAGGCUGAUGGUAAAAGAUGGUAAUAUCAUUAUUUCUGCACCCGGUAUUAAAUCUCAUUCAUCAAUGCCAUUUGCACUCGGAUGCUCUUCCUCGAGGGAGGUGAGAGAACUGCGGCGCGUUCAGAGUCUUCACCUCUUUAACAGUUCAGCCAACUCAUUCGAUCAGUGAUAAACGCCUCAAGUUUUCAGCUCAGCAGACUGUAACACGAAUGAAGAACAGCAACACCACAAGGAGUGAUGUUGUACUCUGCAGUGUUUAUCAUAUGUACUAUAUUGGGUUUCAGUCUUAUUCUGCAGAGGCAACCCAGUGUCCUACAAAACCCAUUUAUAAAUUACUAAUUUGCUUCACCAAGUAAGUUUUAGAUGAAGUGUAAUGGCUGCCGUGAUUACGCCUGCAGAGCAGGUACAUCUGCAAUGGCAGCUCGCCUGCUCACACAGGAUCUGAUAUUCCAGAUAAACAGUAAAAUGUGUUUGUGAACAGAUUUGAGGAGAGAAAUAGUCAACAACAGAAUCUGGAUCCAUAUCUGAUCAGCACUGUUUGACAGUUUGAUCUGAGUUUGGUGCGUUGAGCUGGACGGACUCGCUGAGAAUGAGCUGUCAAUCACAAGGUAGCCCCGCCCUAAAGCAUACCCUGCUUUAUGGUCUAUUUUACUCUAAAUGGGACCAUCAGUGACUAAAUGAACAUCAUGCUGUAUGGAAGAAGACUGAAACUAGAGGCUGAGACCAGAAACUCAUCAGGAAACUGUUUACUGAGCUCAUAAAUCAACUGAGUAGUCCACUCAUUUCUCCAUAAGACUGAAUGCUAUCUGUGUGUUAUUGUAGCCAGUGGAGCUGCUUUCUAUGUAACAGCCAGCAGAUUUAAGACACUUUACAGACCGGAAGCUCUCUCGUUAUAUAUACUGUCAAUGGUUUGAACCAAUUAACAACCUGUGGCUUCAAAAACUGCAGUUCCUAUAAUGUCCACUAGAGGCUAGCUCCAGCAGUCUCCAUAAGGCCCCGUAUCAAAAUGUCCAACUUUACAGCAGAGUAAACAUGUUUACAGCCUUUUGGUCUCUGUAGCUAAUUUCACAUUUAAUGACUGUACUGAUGGUGAAUUUUUAUACAACUAACCCCUUUAAAUUAUAUUAAGGCCUAAAGUUAUAUAUAAUUAAGGGCGUGGCCACUUUGACUGACAGGUGGGUGCCGUCACAGGUUCCUGUUUUCAGUAGCCAGGCUUCAAUCGGCUCCACCUCUUUACCUGUUUUUGGAUUAACUAGGAGUCACUGGAGUCUGGACAGCUCUUCAGAAAGCUGUGGGUGACGUCACAGAGACUAUUCAAGUGUUUGGUCUCAGAGUCAGAAUCUUAAUAUUUGCAAAUGAACAUAAUCCAGGCAAAUAGUAAGUUUCCUCCAAACCGAAAAUAAUAGUAUAUAAACAUAUUUUAUAGAAGAAAGGAUUGCUGUAAAAUCUUAAACCAGCACCGUUUAAAAUCCCUGAGCACAGACUCAUUGGUGGUGUUCAUGUUAACCUGUUUGCAUAAAAUACAACAGACAGUGUAAACAGCAGC